rnacentral:rRNA from 1 species
UACAGAGGUCCCAAGCGUUGUUCGGAUUCACUGGGCGUAAAGGGUGCGUAGGCGGCCCGCCAAGUCACUUGUGAAAUCUCCGGGCUUAACCCGGAGCGGCCAAGUGAUACUGACGGGCUGGAGUGCGGAAGGGGCCACCGGAAUUCUCGGUGUAGCGGUGAAAUGCGUAGAUAUCGAGAGGAACACCUGCGGCGAAGGCGGGUGGCUGGGCCGACACUGACGCUGAGGCGCGAAAGCCAGGGGAGCGAACGGG